rnacentral:rRNA from 1 species
GACGGGUGAGUAAUGCAUAGGAAUCUGCCCGAUAGUGGGGGAUAACCUGGGGAAACCCAGGCUAAUACCGCAUACGUCCUACGGGAGAAAGGGGGCUUCGGCUCCCGCUAUCGGAUGAGCCUAUGUCGGAUUAGCUAGUUGGUGAGGUAAAGGCUCACCAAGGCGACGAUCCGUAGCUGGUCUGAGAGGAUGAUCAGCCACAUCGGGACUGAGACACGGCCCGAACUCCUACGGGAGGCAGCAGUGGGGAAUAUUGGACAAUGGGGGGAACCCUGAUCCAGCCAUGCCGCGUGUGUGAAGAAGGCCCUCGGGUUGUAAAGCACUUUCAGUGAGGAAGAACGCCUGGUGGUUAAUACCCAUCAGGAAAGACAUCACUCACAGAAGAAGCACCGGCUAACUCCGUGCCAGCAGCCGCGGUAAUACGGAGGGUGCGAGCGUUAAUCGGAAUUACUGGGCGUAAAGCGCGCGUAGGUGGCUUGAUAAGCCGGUUGUGAAAGCCCCGGGCUCAACCUGGGAACGGCAUCCGGAACUGUCAAGCUAGAGUGCAGGAGAGGAAGGUAGAAUUCCCGGUGUAGCGGUGAAAUGCGUAGAGAUCGGGAGGAAUACCAGUGGCGAAGGCGGCCUUCUGGACUGACACUGACACUGAGGUGCGAAAGCGUGGGUAGCAAACAGGAUUAGAUACCCUGGUAGUCCACGCCGUAAACGAUGUCGACCAGCCGUUGGGUGCCUAGCGCACUUUGUGGCGAAGUUAACGCGAUAAGUCGACCGCCUGGGGAGUACGGCCGCAAGGUUAAAACUCAAAUGAAUUGACGGGGGCCCGCACAAGCGGUGGAGCAUGUGGUUUAAUUCGAUGCAACGCGAAGAACCUUACCUACUCUUGACAUCCUGCGAAUUUGGUAGA